AGAGUUUGAUCAUGGCUCAGGAUGAACGCUAGCGGCAGGCUUAACACAUGCAAGUCGAACGGUAACAGCCCCGCAAGGGGAGCUGACGAGUGGCAAACGGGUGCGGACACGUACGCAACAUACCCUUGUCUGGGNNAUAGCCUUCUGAAAAGGAGAUUAACACCCCAUAAGAUCACAAGCGUGGCAUCACGUAGUGAUAAAAAAUUCAUUGGACAGGGAUUGGCGUGCGUCCUAUUAGCUAGUUGGUAAGGGUAACGGCCUACCAAGGCGACGAUAGGUAGCUGGUGUGAGAGCACGACCAGCCACACGGGCACUGAGACACGGGCCCGACUCCUACGGGAGGCAGCAGUGAGGAAUAUUGGUCAAUGGACGCAAGUCUGAACCAGCCAUGCCGCGUGAAGGAUGAAGGCGUUCUGCGUUGUAAACUUCUUUUGCGGGGGAAGAAACCUCUUUAUUCUUAGAGAGCCGACGGUACCCCGAGAAUAAGCACCGGCUACUCCGUGCCAGCAGCCGCGGUAAUACGGAGGGUGCAAGCGUUAUCCGGAUUUACUGGGUUUAAAGGGUAUGUAGGCGGACUUUUAAGUCCGUGGUGAAAUCUCCGGGCUCAACCCGGAAACUGCCAUGGAUACUAUAGGUCUUGAAUGUUGUUGAGGUGGGCGGAACGGGUCAUGUAGCGGUGAAAUGCAUAGAUAUGACCCGGAACACCGAUUGCGAAGGCAGCCCACUAAGCAACGAUUGACGCUGAGGCACGAAAGCGUGGGGAUCAAACAGGAUUAGAUACCCUAGUAGUCC
rnacentral:rRNA from 1 species